GGAUGCGAUCAUACCAGCUCUAAAGCACCGAAUCCCAUUAGAACUCCGAAGUUAAGCGUGCUUGGGCGAGAGUAGUACUAGGAUGGGUGACCUCCUGGGAAGUCCUCGUGUUGCAUUCC
rnacentral:rRNA from 1 species